rnacentral:lncRNA from 1 species
AGGGGGGGUGAAUUAGGUUUUAAAAUAAUUUUUACAAUUAAAUGGUUUGUGAGAUACUAAUUAAUCCUUUUUGCAAGUUGAUUAAUUAGAUGCUAUGUGCAGUGAACGAAAUGAAAGUGAGAGAGACAAAUGCAAUCACAAACACAAUGAUUUUAUAGUGGUUUGGAGCUAACCCUUGCUCCUACGUCCACUCCCCAAGCCUCACUUG